UCAUCUCUUGUAAAAUGUAAUACUCUCUCGAUUAUAGUGAAAAAUCCCCAACACCCCGUGGACGUAGGUCUUCUCGACCGAACCACGUAAAUCCGAUGUCGUUUACAGCUUUCUAGUUUAAGUGUUGGUUUCCCGUUUCACCAACUGGCGCCGUCUGUGGGAAAAUCGAGCUAAUGUGUGAGAUUCACUGUUCAUCGAAGAUACUGUUCAUCGAGGGGGGAUCUGUAAAAUAUUCCGGCUGUUCCUUUCCCAGUUUCCGGCGACAAUGGCCGAGGCAUCUCAAUUUCAAUUUUCUCUCCCAAAAUGGCCAUCCCUCUCUCCGGCAUCCAUCGAUCUGUCAUUAUUCUCACAAAUCUAAAAAUUCUCACCGAGAAUCUCUGGUGAAAAAAUUGAAACUCUCAGUUCCGCAGCUCUCUCUCUCUACCGCAGCUAUCUUUCAACCGCAGCUCUCACUAGCUUCGAUCACCAAUUUCACCAGAAAAUAUCUGAAAUGCCUUCAUUUCCUUGUUGAAUCACGGUCCGCCGACUUCCACGGCUGUUCUCUCACAGAUCCGACAGCCCCCAUCCCAAUCGCGAAGAAAAAUCUCGAAAAAAUUGAUCUCCCUCUCUCUCGUAAAACACCAGAAAAAUUCUUAGAAAUCUACUGUAGAUCUCGCUCACCCAUCGUCCUCUUGAAACCCCAUGUGAAUCGAAACUUACAGCUCCAACUCUGAAAUCAUAAAUCGCAAAUCCCAAUCGGAUCCGUUGCAUCCGAUGUCGUCAGGAGAACUUCAAGCAGCCAGCAGCGCCGCCGCCCUUCGCCCUUGUCGCUGCUUUGCUCGGCAGAGCAGUCAGCGCCGACGCCCCUCGCCCUUAUCGCUGCUCUGCUCGGCAGCGCCGCCUGGAAACAGCGAAGGUGGCCUCGUCGUCGCACUGCCGACCCCGGGCUCGGUGGGUUGCCGAUGCUCAGUCCUAUACUGCCGCCGUCGUUCAAUUCAGCUCGACGGAGCAGGGCACCGCCAUAUGAAAUUUAUUCUGAAUAUGGUAGCGUACGCAUAUCAAGCUAAGUUACUUCUUUCUCUAAAUGGAAUCUGGUUUUGAAUUAAUUGGGGGUUAAAAGCUGAGUUAUGUUUGACGAUAAUAAUAAUUAUGGAGUUAAAUUCUCGUAUCAUCACAUGAUAUUGGGUUGGACUUAACAAACCUUGGAACGUUUAUUGGGUUAACUGAAGGUGUUUGGAUGUGUACUGAUUGUUGAGCAGCUGGCUGUAGAGAAUUCAUAAUAAGCAGAUUACUACGUGUUGGAAUUUGAACUAUAUUAAUGCUCGUUGUUUUAUGUGAUGGGAUACAUAAGCUAUCCAUGCAUAUUAUAUGUAUAUUUGUUACAUUGAUUGAGUCUGAAAUAUAGUUAUCAUGACGGACAAGCAGGUGGUCGUUGGAAAUCGAGCUAUACUUCACAAUUAAGUACCUUAAUGGGGUGCUUAGAUUCUCAUAAUUUAACAAUCAAUUUAUAUUUUGAUUUGGGUGACUUAAACAAGAUUUGCAAAUAGAAACUUUUUCCUGCUCACUCAAUGAGAUUACUUAUGUUUUUCUGGGCAUGUUUUUGUUAUAUAAUUGUGUGGUGAAUACAUAUUUGGGGAUUAAUCGGGUGAUUGUAUGCUAUUUUAUAGCUCAUAUUUGAAACAAAUCAUGUACUCAUAUCAGUCGAAUGGAAUACUUGACUAGGGUCAUUUGUGUUCAUAUAUCGUGUUGGCUGGACAACUAACUUGCCUUAAUCAGGAUUUAAUCUCUUAAUUUCUUAUACUCAUUGUGCGAGGGUAUAUCAACACCGAAAAGUAGAGUCGGAUUUGAUCUCCUUAAGGAAUUGUUGAUCGAGGAAGUGGAGCUCAACGAAAUACUAUUUGGGCAUGACGACGAUACAGAGUUGCUCUAUGACAUGUGCGGGAAGAAGUUCUUGUAGUACAAGGGAUUCUCACAACUUUUAUUCGGUGGAAUAAAUGUUUAGAACAACAUUGUUGCUCAGUAAAAGCAAGAAUUUUUGUAGCACAGGAUAAACAAAUUUGGGGAAUGAUUUGAACAAUUAUGGUAAAUACCAUAAUGUAAAACAGGGUAACCCACUAGUAAGUGGUAAUUCAGGUAUUUCGCUGAACUCUAUCAAUGGGAGGAGCAUGAUUGGGAUAUGUGAUAUUUUAUCACUUGGGCAAAAGCAUGAUUUAUAUGGUCUUUGAUGGGAUUUGAAAAUUUAAAUGAAUUCAGCGGGAUAUAAAUAUGGGAAUCAAGUUGUGGCAAUGGAUUAUAUAAUCUAGUGUUCGAAUUCUCUUUGCAGCCCUGUCUUAAAGGGGCUUUCAUAUUUAUACUAAUAUCUGUGCCUAAGAGAUCUUGUAGCACAGGGAAAUUAAAUUUGAGAAAGCUUUGAACAAAAUAUGGGAACCGCCAUAACGUGAAAACGGUAAACCACUUGUAAGUGGUAAUUCAGGUACUUCGCUGAACUUGAUCUCGUGGAAGCAUGUGAGCAUGAUGGGGGAGUAUUAUGCUUUUUUACUAGGCAAAAUUAUGUUUUUAGGGUAUUUUUAUGGGAACAUGUAAGUAUGAUAGGGAUUUGGGAAAUAUUCUACUUCUUUACUUGGGCAAAACCAUGACUUAUAUGAUCUGUGCUGGGAUUUAUGCAAUAAUAAUUAUGUCUUGGAAGCUGCACACCUUCUGCAUAUGUGCCUAGGGCUAGAUUAUGAAUUGACUAAGUACACCAAGCUGCACAACUUCUGCAUAUGUGCUU